GCCUUCAUGGUGUAAUGGUCAACACACUCGACGCAUAUUCCAGAGAUCUGAGGUUCGAGUCCCGGGGAAGGCA
rnacentral:tRNA from 1 species